rnacentral:rRNA from 1 species
AGAAGAGCACGAGGCGGAUGCCUUGGCACAUGACGCCGAUGAAGGACGCGAGCAGGCGAUAACGACGGUGAGCUGCAAAAAGCUUUGACCCGUCGGUUUCCGAAUGGAGCAAUCCGGCAGGAGAAGAUCCUGUCAUCCUAACGCCAAUCCAUAACGUUAGGAGGGGAGACCCGGAGAACUGAAACAUCUCAGUACCCGGAGGAAAAGAAAGAAAACUCGAUUCCCUCAGUAGCGGCGAGCGAACGGGGAACAGGCCAACAGUGAAUCACGAUUCUGAAAUCUAGCGGAAGUUUCUGGAAAGGAACACCAAAGACGGUGACAGUCCGGUACGCGAAAGAAGAAGGAAUCAUCACGAAAGAGUACCAUCGAACACGAGAAAUUUGGUGGGAACAUGGGAGGACCACCUCCUAAGCCUAAAUACGAUCAUGUGACCGAUAGUGAACUAGUACCGUGAGGGAAAGGUGAAAAGAACCCCGGAAGGGGAGUGAAAAGAAUCUGAAACCUUGUGCUUACAAGCAGAUAGAGCCCAUUUAUGGGUGAUAUCGUACUUUUUGUAGAACGGGCCAGCGAGUUAUGUUUACAAGCGAGGUUAAGCCUUUUAGGGGCGGAGCCGGAGGGAAACCGAGUGUGAAUAGCGCGACAGUUUGUGGACAUAGACCCGAAACCGGGUGAUCUAGCCAUGAGCAGGUUGAAGUUGAAGUAAAAUUCAAUGGAGGACCGAACCGGGAGCGGUUUAAAACGCUUCGGAUGACUUGUGGUUAGGGGUGAAAAGCCAAUCGAACUCGGAGAUAGCUGGUUCUCCUCGAAAUCGCUUUAGGGCAAGCCUCAUUGAGAGAUGGAGGGAGGUAGAGCACUGACUGGUCGCAGGGCACUCUGUGUUACUAACACCUAUCAAACUUCGAAUUCCGUUCAUUACCAAUGGGAGUGAGACGAUGUGGGAUAAGCUUCAUCGUCAAAAGGGAAACAGCCCAGAUCAUCAGCUAAGGUCCCAAAAUGACGUUCAGUGGAAAAGGAUGUUAUUUUACUUGGACAACCAGGAUGUUGGCUUAGAAGCAGCCAUACAUUUAAAGAGUGCGUAAUAGCUCACUGGUCGAGUGAAGUUGCGCCGAAGAUACACGGGGCUAAACGUCAUACCGAAGCUAUGGGAUGGAUCGAGACGAAAAGUAUUUUAUGAAAGCUUUCCAAAAAUUGAUGAGAAAUAUCGCACACAAAGAGUCAAAUUUCAACAAACAUGAGAUACGACAGAAAAAAGCCAAAUGGUAUAAGGUUAUUCCAAGAUAUCAUUCAUCAAUUUCAUUGGGCUAAUAAAGGAAGGCGUAUUCAUAGAAUACUUUUUGUCUCGACCAUCGGUAGAGGAGCAUCGACUACACAUUGAAGCAUCAAGGGUAACCUAUUGUGGAGCGUAGUCGAGAGAGAAUGCUGGCAUGAGUAGCGAGAAGGUGAGUGAGAAUCUCACCCGUCGAAAGCCGAAGGGUUCCUGAGCAAGGCUCGUCCUCUCAGGGUAAGUCGGGACCUAAGCUGAGGCCGAAAGGCGUAGGCGAUGGACAACCGGUGGAAAUUCCGGUACAGUAAAGAAUCGUUUGAGAGAAGUGUUGACGCAGGAAGCUACGCAAAGCGCGUUGAAGGUAUGCGCGUCCAACGAAGUAGGCUAGUCCGGCAGGCAAAUCCGUCGGAUGGUGCUGAGUUCGGAUGGGGAUCGAAAUUUAAGUAGAGAAGUUGCCGAUGCUACACUGCCAAGAAAAGACGCUAUCGAGAUUUUUUGCUCCCGUACCAAGAAAGGUGUAACGAUUUGGGCACUGUCUCAACAAAGGAUCCGGUGAAAUUGUAGUAGUCGUGAAGAUGCGACUUACCCACGCUAGGACGGAAAGACCCCAUGGAGCUUUACUGCAGGUUGACAUUGGACUUUGGUUUGUAAUGUACAGGAUAGGUGGGAGACUUAGAAACAUUGUCGCCAGAUGAUGCGGAGUCGUCCUUUGGAUACCACCCUUUACAGACUAGGGUUCUAACCUAGGACCGUGAACCGGUUCGGGGACACUGUCAGUCGGACAGUUUGACUGGGGCGGUCGCCUCCCAAAGAGUAACGGAGGCGUUCAAAGGUUCGCUCAGGAUGGACAGAAACCAUUCAACGAGUAUAAAGGCAAAAGCGAGCUUCACUGCGAGACCUACAAGUCGAGCAGAUACGAAAGUAGGACUUAGUGAUCCGGUGGUACCGUGUGGAAGGGCCAUCGCUUAACGGAUAAAAGCUACCCUGGGGAUAACAGGCUUAUACCCCCCAAGAGUUCACAUCGACGGGGGUGUUUGGCACCUCGAUGUCGGCUCGUCUCAUCCUGGAGCUGGAGCAGGUUCCAAGGGUUGGGCUGUUCGCCCAUUAAAGAGGUACGCGAGCUGGGUUCAGAACGUCGUGAGACAGUUCGGUCCCUAUCCAGCGUGGGCGUAAGAAAUUUGAGAGGAGCUGUCCCUAGUACGAGAGGACCGGGAUGGACGAACCGAUGGUGUACCGGUUGUUCUGCCAAGAGCAUAGCCGGGUAGCUACGUUCGGAAGGGAUAAGCGCUGAAGGCAUCUAAGCGCGAAGCCCCCCUCGAGAUGAGAUUUCUUAGAGACCGUGAAGAAAACACGGUUGAUAGGUCAGAGGUGGAAGCGCAGUAAUGCGUGGAGCUAACUGAUACUAAUCUCUCGAAUAUUUGACCA